rnacentral:rRNA from 1 species
GUUAAAAAGCUCGUAGUUGGAUUUCGGAGUGGGCCAGUUGGUCCGCCGCAAGGUGUGUUACUGACUGGUCUGCUCUUCUUCGCAAAGACUGCGUGUACUCUUUGUUGAGUGUGCGUAGGAUUUACGACGUUUACUUUGAAAAAAUUAGAGUGUUCAAAGCAGGCUAUUGCUUGAAUACAUGAGCAUGGAAUAAUGGAAUAGGACUUUGGUCCCGUUUUGUUGGUUUCUAGGA